UUAAGCGACUAAGCGUACACGGUGGAUGCCCUGGCAGUCAGAGGCGAUGAAGGACGUGCUAAUCUGCGAUAAGCGUCGGUAAGGUGAUAUGAACCGUUAUAACCGGCGAUUUCCGAAUGGGGAAACCCAGUGUGUUUCGACACACUAUCAUUAACUGAAUCCAUAGGUUAAUGAGGCGAACCGGGGGAACUGAAACAUCUAAGUACCCCGAGGAAAAGAAAUCAACCGAGAUUCCCCCAGUAGCGGCGAGCGAACGGGGAGCAGCCCAGAGCCUGAAUCAGUGUGUGUGUUAGUGGAAGCGUCUGGAAAGGCGUGCGAUACAGGGUGACAGCCCCGUACACAAAAAUGCACAUGCUGUGAGCUCGAUGAGUAGGGCGGGACACGUGGUAUCCUGUCUGAAUAUGGGGGGACCAUCCUCCAAGGCUAAAUACUCCUGACUGACCGAUAGUGAACCAGUACCGUGAGGGAAAGGCGAAAAGAACCCCGGCGAGGGGAGUGAAAAAGAACCUGAAACCGUGUACGUACAAGCAGUGGGAGCACGCUUAGGCGUGUGACUGCGUACCUUUUGUAUAAUGGGUCAGCGACUUAUAUUCUGUAGCAAGGUUAACCGAAUAGGGGAGCCGAAGGGAAACCGAGUCUUAACUGGGCGUUAAGUUGCAGGGUAUAGACCCGAAACCCGGUGAUCUAGCCAUGGGCAGGUUGAAGGUUGGGUAACACUAACUGGAGGACCGAACCGACUAAUGUUGAAAAAUUAGCGGAUGACUUGUGGCUGGGGGUGAAAGGCCAAUCAAACCGGGAGAUAGCUGGUUCUCCCCGAAAGCUAUUUAGGUAGCGCCUCGUGAAUUCAUCUCCGGGGGUAGAGCACUGUUUCGGCAAGGGGGUCAUCCCGACUUACCAACCCGAUGCAAACUGCGAAUACCGGAGAAUGUUAUCACGGGAGACACACGGCGGGUGCUAACGUCCGUCGUGAAGAGGGAAACAACCCAGACCGCCAGCUAAGGUCCCAAAGUCAUGGUUAAGUGGGAAACGAUGUGGGAAGGCCCAGACAGCCAGGAUGUUGGCUUUGAAGCAGCCAUCAUUUAAAGAAAGCGUAAUAGCUCACUGGUCGAGUCGGCCUGCGCGGAAGAUGUAACGGGGCUAAACCAUGCACCGAAGCUGCGGCAGCGACACUAUGUGUUGUUGGGUAGGGGAGCGUUCUGUAAGCCUGUGAAGGUGUGCUGUGAGGCAUGCUGGAGGUAUCAGAAGUGCGAAUGCUGACAUAAGUAACGAUAAAGCGGGUGAAAAGCCCGCUCGCCGGAAGACCAAGGGUUCCUGUCCAACGUUAAUCGGGGCAGGGUGAGUCGACCCCUAAGGCGAGGCCGAAAGGCGUAGUCGAUGGGAAACAGGUUAAUAUUCCUGUACUUGGUGUUACUGCGAAGGGGGGACGGAGAAGGCUAUGUUGGCCGGGCGACGGUUGUCCCGGUUUAAGCGUGUAGGCUGGUUUUCCAGGCAAAUCCGGAAAAUCAAGGCUGAGGCGUGAUGACGAGGCACUACGGUGCUGAAGCAACAAAUGCCCUGCUUCCAGGAAAAGCCUCUAAGCAUCAGGUAACAUCAAAUCGUACCCCAAACCGACACAGGUGGUCAGGUAGAGAAUACCAAGGCGCUUGAGAGAACUCGGGUGAAGGAACUAGGCAAAAUGGUGCCGUAACUUCGGGAGAAGGCACGCUGAUAUGUAGGUGAAGCGACUUGCUCGUGGAGCUGAAAUCAGUCGAAGAUACCAGCUGGCUGCAACUGUUUAUUAAAAACACAGCACUGUGCAAACACGAAAGUGGACGUAUACGGUGUGACGCCUGCCCGGUGCCGGAAGGUUAAUUGAUGGGGUUAGCCGCAAGGCGAAGCUCUUGAUCGAAGCCCCGGUAAACGGCGGCCGUAACUAUAACGGUCCUAAGGUAGCGAAAUUCCUUGUCGGGUAAGUUCCGACCUGCACGAAUGGCGUAAUGAUGGCCAGGCUGUCUCCACCCGAGACUCAGUGAAAUUGAACUCGCUGUGAAGAUGCAGUGUACCCGCGGCAAGACGAGCGUGACCCGUGAACCUUUACUAUAGCUUGACACUGAACAUUGAGCCUUGAUGUGUAGGAUAGGUGGGAGGCUUUGAAGUGUGGACGCCAGUCUGCAUGGAGCCGACCUUGAAAUACCACCCUUUAAUGUUUGAUGUUCUAACGUUGACCCGUAAUCCGGGUUGCGGACAGUGUCUGGUGGGUAGUUUGACUGGGGCGGUCUCCUCCUAAAGAGUAACGGAGGAGCACGAAGGUUGGCUAAUCCUGGUCGGACAUCAGGAGGUUAGUGCAAUGGCAUAAGCCAGCUUGACUGCGAGCGUGACGGCGCGAGCAGGUGCGAAAGCAGGUCAUAGUGAUCCGGUGGUUCUGAAUGGAAGGGCCAUCGCUCAACGGAUAAAAGGUACUCCGGGGAUAACAGGCUGAUACCGCCCAAGAGUUCAUAUCGACGGCGGUGUUUGGCACCUCUGGCAGGGCUCAUCACAUCCUGGGGCUGAAGUAGGUCCCAAGGGUAUGGCUGUUCGCCAUUUAAAGUGGUACGCGAGCUGGGUUUAGAACGUCGUGAGACAGUUCGGUCCCUAUCUGCCGUGGGCGCUGGAGAACUGAGGGGGGCUGCUCCUAGUACGAGAGGACCGGAGUGGACGCAUCACUGGUGUUCGGGUUGUCAUGCCAAUGGCACUGCCCGGUAGCUAAAUGCGGAAGAGAUAAGUGCUGAAAGCAUCUAAGCACGAAACUUGCCCCGAGAUGAGUUCUCCCUGACUCCUUGAGAGUCCUGAAGGAACGUUGAAGACGACGACGUUGAUAGGCCGGGUGUGUAAGCGCAGCGAUGCGUUGAGCUAACCGGUACUAAUGAACCGUGAGGCUUAACCUU
rnacentral:rRNA from 1 species